rnacentral:lncRNA from 1 species
UCCUCGGCCUGUCCUCUCUGCCCCUCCUGCUGCUCCCCACGCAUGUGCGUGGUGCCGCCAGAGACCCCCAAUGAGUGAGGUCACAUAGGCGAUGCCCAGAGCCCCUCUACUUGUCCCCAACCCCCACUGCAACAUCGCUUGCAGUCCCUAGGUCGUGCCCAUGCCACGCGGCCGGCCACAACAGUCCAAGGCCUCGCGCCCGAGCCCUCCCGUGCAUGCUACUCACUGUCGCCACCGCGCGCCUAUAGUAAGGCCUCCCCGAGGCCCCCUCACCUCUGGACUCUCUUCCCCGACCCCAAUCGCACGCCUAGACCACCUCUUCCCCCUCUCCUACUCUCUGCGCUCGGGAUCGAGGCGAGCGCCGCCAUCUCUGGACACCGGUGCCAGCAUGGUAGGGAGUUCCUCCGCCCCUGUUCCUCUAUGAUCUGGAGCCAUGGGACGGUUGUCACCCUUUCCCCCCUGCUUGCCGCCUUGUUUGCAUCCAGGAACAACUCCGGUGGUCGUCACCUGAAGCUCCCUGUGUUGCAUGCCUCAUCACCAGCGAACCCCUAAGCCCCGACGACCUCCUCCACCUCUCACUAAUCAGGGGUAUCGCCGUGUGUCUAUCUCUGCCAUCGUCGCGUCAAUCCAUCGCCGGAGUCACUGCCGGUGAGCUCCUCCCCUUCACUGUCGUGGGGAAGGAGAUGACCGAUGGGCUCCACCUAUCAUCUUGU